GACGAACGCUGGCGGCGUGCCUAAUACAUGCAAGUCGAGCGGACCGAAAGGAGAGCUCGCUCUCCUUUCAGUCAGCGGCGGACGGGUGAGUAACACGUGGGUAACCUGCCUGUAAGACCGGGAUAACUCGCGGAAACGCGAGCUAAUACCGGAUAGGUCCCGUGGCCGCAUGGCGACGGGAGGAAAGAUGGCGCGAGCUAUCGCUUACAGAUGGACCCGCGGCGCAUUAGCUAGUUGGUGGGGUAACGGCCCACCAAGGCGACGAUGCGUAGCCGACCUGAGAGGGCGAUCGGCCACAUUGGGACUGAGACACGGCCCAA
rnacentral:rRNA from 1 species